UACAGAGGGGGCAAGCGUUAUUCGGAAUUAUUGGGCGUAAAGGGCGCGUAGGCGGCUUGGCAAGUGGAUGGUGAAAUCCCUCGGCUUAACCGAGGAACUGCCGUCCAAACUGCUUCGCUUGAGACCAGGAGAGGUGAGUGGAAUUCCCAGUGUAGCGGUGAAAUGCGUAGAUAUUGGGAGGAACACCAGUGGCGAAGGCGGCUCACUGGACUGGUACUGACGCUGAUGCGCGAAAGCUAGGGGAGCAAACAGG
rnacentral:rRNA from 1 species